UCGACGGCAGCGCGGGGCAACCUGGCGGCGAGUGGCGAACGGGUGAGUAAUAUAUCGGAACGUACCCUGGAGUGGGGGAUAACGUAGCGAAAGUUACGCUAAUACCGCAUACGAUCUAAGGAUGAAAGUGGGGGAUCGCAAGACCUCAUGCUCCUGGAGCGGCCGAUAUCUGAUUAGCUAGUUGGCGGGGUAAAAGCCCACCAAGGCAACGAUCAGUAGCUGGUCUGAGAGGACGACCAGCCACACUGGAACUGAGACACGGUCCAGACUCCUACGGGAGGCAGCAGUGGGGAAUUUUGGACAAUGGGCGCAAGCCUGAUCCAGCAAUGCCGCGUGAGUGAAGAAGGCCUUCGGGUUGUAAAGCUCUUUUGUCAGGGAAGAAACGGUGGGGGCUAAUAUCCCCCGCUAAUGACGGUACCUGAAGAAUAAGCACCGGCUAACUACGUGCCAGCAGCCGCGGUAAUACGUAGGGUGCAAGCGUUGAUCGGAAUUACUGGGCGUAAAGCGUGCGCAGGCGGUUUUGUAAGUCUGUCGUGAAAUCCCCGGGCUCAACCUGGGAAUUGCGAUGGAGACUGCAAGGCUAGAGUUUGGCAGAGGGGGGNAAAAUUCCACGUGUAGCAGUGANAUGCGUAGAUAUGUGGAGGAACACCGAUGGCGAAGGCAGCCCCCUGGGUCAAAACUGACGCUCAUGCA
rnacentral:rRNA from 1 species